GAUGAACGCUGGCGGCGUGCCUAAUACAUGCAAGUCGAGCGAACAGACGAGGAGCUUGCUCCUCUGACGUUAGCGGCGGACGGGUGAGUAACACGUGGAUAACCUACCUAUAAGACUGGGAUAACUUCGGGAAACCGGAGCUAAUACCGGAUAAUAUAUUGAACCGCAUGGUUCAAUAGUGAAAGACGGUUUUGCUGUCACUUAUAGAUGGAUCCGCGCCGCAUUAGCUAGUUGGUAAGGUAACGGCUUACCAAGGCAACGAUGCGUAGCCGACCUGAGAGGGUGGUCGGCCACACUGGAACUGCGCCACGGUCCAGACUCCUACGGGAGGCAGCGGUAGGGAAUCUUCCGCAAUGGGCGAAAGCCUGACGGAGCAACGCCGCGUGAGUGAUGAAGGUCUUCGGAUCGUAAAACUCUGUUAUUAGGGAAGAACAAAUGUGUAAGUAACUAUGCACGUCUUGACGGUACCUAAUCAGAAAGCCACGGCUAACUACGUG
rnacentral:rRNA from 1 species